rnacentral:lncRNA from 1 species
UAUAUACAGGGAGUACCAGAUCAAUGUGGAGGGGUAAUAGAUAUAUACAGGGAGAACCAGAUCAAUGUGGAGGGGUAAUAGAUAUAUACAGGGAGUACCAGAUCAAUGUGGAGGGGUAAUAGAUGUAUACAGGGAGAACCAGUACCAGAUCAAUGUGUAGGGGUAAUAGAUAUAUACAGGGAGUACCAGAUCAAUGUGGAGGGGUAAUAGAUAUAUACAGGGAGAACCAGAUCAAUGUGGAGGGGUAAUAGAUAUAUACAGGGAGUACCAGAUCAAUGUGGAGGGGUAAUAGAUGUAUACAGGGAGAACCAGUACCAGAUCAAUGUGUAGGGGUAAUAGAUAUAUACAGGGAGAACCAGAUCAAUGUGGAGGGGUAAUAGAUAUAUACAGGGAGAACCAGAUCAAUGUGGAGGGGUAAUAGAUAUAUACAGGGAGUACCAGAUCAAUGUGUAGGGGUAAUAGAUAUAUACAGGGAGAACCAGUACCAGAUCAAUGUGGAGGGGUAAUAGAUAUAUACAGUGAGAACCAGAUCAAUGUGGAGGGGUAAUAGAUAUAUACAGUGAGAACCAGAUCAAUGUGUAGGGGUAAUAGAUAUAUACAGGGAGUACCAGAUCAAUGUGUAGGGGUAAUAGAUAUAUACAGGGAGAACCAGAUCAAUGUGUAGGGGUAAUAGAUAUAUACAGGGAGUACCAGAUGAAUGUGGAGGGGUAAUAGAAAGUAUUGAGACUUUAUUCUAAAAUUGAUUAAAUU